rnacentral:snRNA from 1 species
AUACUUACCUGGUGUCGGACUCUCCGGCGAUCAGGAAAGCCGGGGUCCCGUGCCGAGGCCUGUCAUUGCACUGCGGCAGGCUGAAGUACGCCACUAUCCCAAACCGGGGUAGAUGGGGCAUGUAAUUUUUGGUAGUGGGGCUUGGCGUUCGCGCCAGUCCCUG